UACUUUUUAGCUUCCGCUAAGUACUUGGCAGCGCGCCAGGCCCGGAGGAUUCUGGGAAGCGAAAGCCUCCCCAGUAUAAACUGCCAGCUUUAAGCAGCCCUGACAGUUCUGCUCCUUCCAAACUUGGCAGCCGUUCAAAGUGCUCUUUCAUUUGAAAUGCUGGAAGCCUGCCAUGUGCAAUGCAGAUUUGCUGUGCCUGUGCGCAGAAGGAACUGAUAAAUGCCGUUGCAGUUGCCAUGGGGACAGGAGGCUAUCAGAAUGGCCUUGUGAUCCGCAGCCUCUCAGCGCGGCAGGCUCUCGCUCUGCCUCCUGCCCCUCCUCCCUCUAGUCAGUGAGAUGGUGAAAUAAAUGUUCUGGAAAAAGGUUAACCCUGCCUGCUCUGGUUCCAAAGCCGAGAGAAGGUUCACCUCGAAGAACUUACCGGGCCCUAAGUGGCAGCCGGACCACCGGCCUCAGCGCCGUCCUAGGCGGGUCACCACGCUCCCGCCGCCCCCUCCCCCUGCUCCAAGGAUCCCACACACCCUGGCCGGGCUUCCUGCUCCCUGGGGGCUUUCACAAAGCUGUGUUUUUAAUAGAGCUUUUCAGCAAGCCCUAGUGUAAGUCUUUGAGUCAUCAAAACCCGGAUGUAAACACAGCAGCCUUACAUUCUGCACGGUUUGCGUGUAUUUUAUCUUUUUAAUAAUAUUUUGCUGGCAACUUAAAACUGCAAGGAUGCCAGAUAGUUAGCCAGCAGCUUACAUCAUGCAGCAUCCAUCUUAGGGAGAGUGGCUGCCUGCCCUGUCCUGCUCGCUCGCUCUCUCUCUCUCUCUCCCCCCCUACCUUGAGACGGCAGGAAAUGUGGGUCUCUCUGAAGCCAUUUUAUUGCAGGAGAGGCACAACCGAGUCCCCAAGAACCCUGGGUUUAAGAACGAGCAUGACAUCACCUUGGGCAACAAUAACCGUCUCUGUGUUCCUGUCAGGGACGAGACACUGAGGUGAAACCGAUCUGUCAUUGACACUGUGAGUGAGGGCGCACCGGUCCGGAUGCCCCCCUCCCCAUUUUGCACAAGCUGCUCUUUGAAACACGGCCGAUUCAAUGUACAGAAACAAAAUAGCACAUUCAGAUUUGGUACAUGUUCAGGUCUCUAAUGCCAACUCUCCGGGUGGCCUGUUUAAUGGGGGAAAAAAUGAAAUACUCCAUUCCAGCCAAGGCCCAGGAAGGCCAAAGAGGUUUAGGGAUUUAUUUACAUUGAACAGUAUUCCUCCUCAACCCAACUUGCUCCUUCCUGAGGGUUUCCUGAACCUAAAACUUUCGUUAACAUCCCAGGAAGAGAACAUAUUUUUCCUGUGGGUUUCAAUAUUUUCUGCUAAAUAUAUUUCAAACCACUGUUUAUCUAGGGUUUCAGCUUUCAGACUUUAUGUACUUUUGACACCUUGAGGUUGUUCCACUGAAAAAUGGUGUCUGUUUAUUAAAGAGGACUUUAUGUGCUGGGCGUUAGGGCGGGGGGGGGUGUGAGGGGGGAUUUUCUGUUUGGGUCCGUCUGUAUAAGGAGGGCUUCAGGAUGAGAUCCAAGUCAGAGGCCUGUUUGGUUUAUGAAGCCCUUUGGACAAAGCGGGCCCUACAUAGCUCACACAAACCUUUGAAUACCGCAGAAUGUUGAGCCAAAGGAACCAUUUCUUCAUAAGCGCUCAGCUGACACGGAGGCCGGGACAGGGGAAAAGACGAAAAAUCCAAGUUCCUGGAGCUUAGCCGCGGUUUCUUUUAACCCACCUCUCUCUGGGUGUCUGCUGGUGAUUGUCACAGCAAUUUGGGCCAGGGCAACGCACUCUGUCUCGCUGGAAUCUCCUGACUUAAAAGUAGCCCCUUCCAAAUAAAUAAAUUAAUCAAUAAAAGCCAUCUGUUUCACCUUGACAGCGGGCUCAGAGCUUGAAGGGGUAGUGUUAAACACGAUUUUUAGGAGCAGUUGGCCCUCGAGACAUUUUGAGGUGGGCUUUGGGUUGGAAUUAAACAGGAGGUGGAGGCUCGGAUGAGGUGAUUCAGAAAGCCCCUCUUUCUCUCCCUCUCCACCCCCCCCAUCCAGCCACCACCUUCCCCAGACAAUCCAGGCAGCUGGGUUUUUGGCUCUGGCAGCUGCUAAGCUUUGGCAAGCCAAAAGCACAUUUCGUGGCGGUGAUUCCUUUCCCAAGUUGACGGACAUGUUUCUGCACUGAGCGCAAGGGAUGUUUCCUGACUGUGUGCGUGAAUCAGAGGCUGCAUUUUUCAUCCAGGGCUUCUGGUGACAGUUUUAAGCUGGAAGAACAAAGCAGAUUACGAUGAGCCUCUAUCAUCAGGGUCCAGAAAUAAAGAAUCCACCCAAAGAGCUAGUCACAUAUAGCUUGGGUGUUAUGAUUUUUUAGGCUUCAAGCGUGCCCAGAGCAGCCCAUUCCCCCAGAAGGCUAGGCCUCCUUCCACGAUUUCAGACACUGCCCUUCCUCUUUCUCUCCAUGUCCUUGUGGUGCUUGCUGAUUUGUUGGCUUCAAAAGUUCUUCCGUUUUUUCAGCCUUCCUCUCUUCCAAAUGGGAAGAUUUGCAAAAGCCAUCUUGUGGCCCUAGAGUGCCUUCCCGGAUGGAGGCCAGCUCGGAGAUCCCAAACAGCCUGGCCACCGCCCGUGCCCUGCUCUGUGACAGCAGGGUGGCGACAGGGGGACUCAGUGGUGCAGCCCCUCUGUACCAGGUCCCAAGGAGCCAGCUUCUCAGAAAUCCAUGGAUUAGGAAGUUCUCUCGGGGCUGCUUCAGGAGCUGCUGGGGAACAACUCCCUUUUGUUUUGCUGUCUAGCAUGUGACCAGAAUGCUGCCAGCUAAUUUUAACCCCACCAAAGUACUGCUGGAAAAAACCCCAAAAAACAAGCAAACAAAAAAACCUAUCUUACAUCUGGAGAGAGGAACGCGGUGGGCUGGAGAAAAGCUUUUUCAGCCUGUGUUCCUUCCUGUUUCAGUUUCCAGACUUGCAUUAUCGGUAACCUGAAAAAUGAUGAGUUUCACCAAAUUCCUGGAUAUUGCACAAGAGGACAAUGAGUCUAUUUCGGGUGCUGUGAUUGUGUCUGGCACAGACCCUGGAAGCCAUUGUUUUCGGGAGGGAGACCGCUUUGGGGUUUCCUGGUGCUUUCCUUCUAGGGUCUCAAAGCCCCACAUGGUACGGGGGUGGGGCGCUCUCCAUGGCAACCAUGCCGGCUGCUCUCUAAAAGGACUUGGAGUAGAAGUGGGUGGUUAGGUCAAUCGGGUGGGGGCGGUGGCCGUGGUGGGCCUGGAGGUGUUAAAAAGGUGGAUCCCAGGGAGUGUUUGAAGUGGGACCGCAGGAGCAGGAAGAAGGGAGAGGGCUCUUUCACAAUAGCUGGAUGGCCCCCUGGGACCGGGGCCACCAGCUCUCCAGCUCAAUUUCCAUAUCCGCUUUCAGCACCAGGAAUUAAUGGAGGACUUCAUGGGGUUCCUCACCCUGGAUGCUGGAUUCUCAAAGCAUUCCCACGGCGCUUAAUUGUUGCUGUCCGGCUGGGUGGCAGCUGGUGACGCUAGUGAAAAGGUACAGAAUCUCAGGAGCCGGGAAAUGAAGCAGUUUGGGCAGGACAGCGGGUAGCCAGGUAGGUAGCUGCUGCCAGCCGUUCCAAAACCAGGUACUGAGAUGGUGUCAUUAACCCCAGGGUCUACAGUGCAGCCCCCGUAGGUCACAUGAUGGCAACGAGAGCCGGAGCCAGGGGAGAGGCCCCGGAGGCUGGUGCACACUCCCGGCCGCCGGGAGCAUGUGGUGGCAGUUGUUCUGACAGCUGCUGAGGGCUUCAACUGCCUGCAAAGCCAUUUGCUCAGGCCUGCCCUGUCUGGCCAACUUCUAUGGAUUUAAAGGAUCCUCGUUGGUCUCUGAGCGCCCCCCCAUCGCCAUCUGAAUGGUCAGGGGCAGACACCCUCUCUGGGAAGGCAGGGAGCCUCCCGGAGACGUUCAGUCCCUCCUCUGCCUCCCCAUGGCUGCCGUAACCUGCCCACAGUCGUCAAGAUCGGCUGGCAAAUUCCUAAAUUAAGGUUCUGUUUACUCUGCUGUUCCAAAGGCUUGUUUUGAGCAAGAUGUUGUGCUUUAAUUAAAAAGACGGGAGCUCAUGAGUAAGUGAAAAUAUUUUUGAAUCUUCACAGAAAUGUCCGAAUUUGGUGUCUUGUGUUUCACGGUGAGGGGGGUCAGGCUGGUCAGCACUUUUAUCUGGGGGACCACUGAAAACUCUUGCUGCAAGCUGACAGCCGGCUCUUCUGCACCGUGGACUUAGGAAGGGGACCCCAAGUCAAAAACAUGCGUUCCUGCUGCUUCUGUCUGCAGGGUUAACCGGCACACAGGUGUCAUUAGGACACAUUCCCCAUUUACCUUUCCAGCCAGAGGCUUCCGAAAUGUUUCAUAAUAGCUCCGCAGCUGGAAUGCAGCUGCUGCUGGGUGGAGCAAACAUGACUCCUUCUGGGUCAGCAGGGUGAGGGAGGGCAGGGAAACUUGCAAGGUUGGGAAAGUCCUUCUUUCUGAAGCCAGAGCUCAGGAAUGAGUGGGGCCUCUGGUGUGAAAACUUUCCAGAUGGGGGAAGGAAGGUUUUUGUCCUACAGAAGUUGCAAAUGGAUGCUCCAGCUCCCAGGUUGGAGGAAGGCCGUUGGGGAAUGUGUGGUGUUCAUUAAGGCGGCAUCAUCGCCUGCCGGGAUUAUGGCAAUGGCCUCCUAACUCUUCUCCCACCUCCACGUUGGGUCCGCAACAUCGAUCACGCGGGAACAGAGGGACCUCUAUAACAUCCUGUUGCACACUCUGCACGAUACCCUCCCUCCAUCCCAGGGUGGUCAGCAGGUCAUGGCAAGCGGGAGACGUGAUGCUAAUGACUCCGGCUCCACGUGGCGACCAUUCAGGAAAAAGCUGCAAUGUUCUCUCUGCCACAUUAAUCAGAGAAACACAUGAAGAGCUGUUGCAUGGAGACAGCUUUCCUCCCAGUACCUGCCCUGCAUGCUAAUCAGCACCCCUCCCGGCGGGUCUCUUGCAGGGAGAAAGCAAGCAAAAGAAAACGCAGUUGGCUAGAGACGUUCACGUUGGCUUUGCCCACAGCUGCUACCGAGCGUCCUUGUGGGCCCUGGUGGUGGUUGAUCUCAGCCGUGCGCCAGGCCCUUCGCGUCUCUCCGAGGAUGGACUGGCCACUGGCCACUGCCUCCCCCACCCCCCGCUGCCCCCCCUCUCUGUGGGGGCUUUUCCACAGAUGCCUGGGAAUUCCCUGCCUAUAGAGAAGACACCCCUUGCCUUCCCUCCCCGUGUGGCGUCCUGCAAACCUGACAGAGCUAUGGGAGGCCACAGGCUUUGGAGAAAGAGGGAGCGAAAAGAGCAUUUUUUAAAAACACGUCUCUUUUAUUUCCCUCUUGGCCUCCAUCAGCUCCCCACCUGGCAUAUGAACUUGUUCUUCCCUUAUACGGCUCUGAGAAAAGCACCAUAUGGCCGUUCAUCAGGCCCACGGGCUGGUUUCCAUCCAGCCUACUCUGAUUUCCUCCCAGGCUGGGGUCUGCAGAAUGACCCGCCCUUCAGGAGGCCCGUGGAGGAAGAGAGACAGGAACAGCGAAGACAUACAGAGCUCGAACCGCCGGCCGGGAGUUGCUCUGGGUCCUUACGUGUGGCGAUGCCAUCAUCAUCCCUACUUCACAGAUGAAGACACUGACACGGGGAGAUGUUCAGAGACAUCCUCUAAGUCACAUGGCUGGUGAUGGCAGAGCCGGGAUCCGAGCCGUACUAACCAUCGGAUUUUGCUGAUUUGCUAUCAUGGAAAACCCAAUCUUGGCUAAAGGGUGUUGGCAAGGUUAGAAGAAGGGGUCCUGCCCAUGUGGCCAGGAGAGGGGAUGCCAGAGGAAAGAGGAUAAAUCCAUGAGGCGGGGCAAAGCCUAGCCGGCCCUCCCUCCAGGAGAGCAGGGUCCAAGCUCAGUGAGUGAAGCCAGCACAAGCCAGGAGAAAGCCGGGAGGCUCUGGGAGGCAGCCCCCUUGCAGAGCUGGCCAGGGAGCUGCAGGGAGCCCUCAGAAGGCCCUGGAGACUGGUUUCCCCCUUGCGCUCCUCGCCUACGUCCUUCCCACCGGCUCACCCCAUCACUGCUUUCUCUGCUCUCCAGGAGUGAGUGACAAGCACACCUCCUUGAAGCCUGCCGAGCUGCGAGGCUGCCCUGGGGUGUGGUGGGAGCAGAGGGGCACAGAUCUCAGCUCCAUGUUUGCUCUGUUGCUGUGCGGCCAAAGAGCGCCCACCCGCAUGCCCGUGAGCCUCACCGACAGGGUGGCGUGGUGCAGAGGUGUGAAUGAGCUAAGUGUCAAGGACGUAGGUAGGCUCCUGGCACAGAAGAGCUGCGUGAUCCAUGCAUCCUGCCCUCAUUCCCUGUCCCUCCUUCAGGAACAGGAAGGAGGAAGCUGAGGCUCCCGGGCGACUGGGGCUGGGCCGAUGAUAGGCCUAGCAGACAUGCAGGGCCUGGCUUGGCAGCCCCCCCACUCCGCCCCCCAGAGGAAGGAGCUAUAUUUGACAUGACUCCACCCUUUGUACCCCCUCAGCCUUGUUGGGCUCCUCCCCACGUGUCUCCCCUGCUGCACGGCCCGCAGAGGAGGGCUUCACGCCUCCACGGGCUGUCUCCACAGUGUCUCCUACAAACAUGAGCCCACAGGGCAAGACCCGGUUCCCAAGUCCAGGACAGAUGUCGGGCUCCUGUUGGCCCUCUCCCGUGUCCCAGGGGCCUUUGGAUGGAGUCCAGGCAACACCCAGCUCUCCUACCCAGGACUUCCCCCUAGAGAGGAAACACUAAGGGACAUUGGAGGGACUCACUGUCCCCAGAAUUAUGGCUAAGGAACAGGAAUUUGGUGACGGCUGUGGUGUAUGAGUGAGUCAGACAAGAAGCACACAGGAAAGGAGGGCACUUUUCUUUACACUAUUUUUUUUUCUCUCCGUUAAAGAAAAAUGUGAACGCAGAGGUAAAGAGAAAGAAGUGAAAGUUCCUUUGAUUCCCAUCUCUCAUCAAUUAUCACCGUUUUCCCCAGCAGUAACUGCACUAGCAGCACGUGGUGUGUCAUCACAGGCUUUGCCAAGCAUUUACACACACACACGCGUGCACACACACACACUCACGUGUACAUCCAUGUGUACAGGGGUAUGGUGCCAGGGUCUUUGUUUUUCUUUGCUUUUGCACAAAUACUACCCUGUUGACCACAUUGCUCUGCAGUUGUCUCCCCGUAACAGUAUAUGCUGGACAUUUUCUCACGUCAACAUAUACGGAGCAUCCUUGUUGGUUGUUUUUUUUUUUUUAAACUUCUGCACAACAUUGCACAUGGAUGCAACACCGUGGAUCCAAUCAUGCCCUUUCCACUCAUACCCUCACUCGGGGUCCCCGUUGCUCACCCACCUCUGGGGAGCAUGAAUCA